UACGUAGGGUGCAAGCGUUAAUCGGAAUUACUGGGCGUAAAGCGUGCGCAGGCGGCUUUGCAAGACAUGAUGUGAAAUCCCCGGGCUUAACCCUGGGAACUGCAUUUGUGACUGCAUGGCUGGAGUGCGGCAGAGGGGGAUGGAAUUCCGCGUGUAGCAGUGAAAUGCGUAGAUAUGCGGAGGAACACCGAUGGCGAAGGCAAUCCCCUGGGCCUGCACUGACGCUCAUGCACGAAAGCGUGGGGAGCAAACAGG
rnacentral:rRNA from 1 species